AUUGAACGCUGGCGGCAUGCCUUACACAUGCAAGUCGAACGGCAGCACGGGUGCUUGCACCUGGUGGCGAGUGGCGAACGGGUGAGUAAUACAUCGGAACAUGUCCUGUAGUGGGGGAUAGCCCGGCGAAAGCCGGAUUAAUACCGCAUACGAUCUACGGAUGAAAGCGGGGGACCUUCGGGCCUCGCGCUAUAGGGUUGGCCGAUGGCUGAUUAGCUAGUUGGUGGGGUAAAGGCCUACCAAGGCGACGAUCAGUAGCUGGUCUGAGAGGACGACCAGCCACACUGGGACUGAGACACGGCCCAGACUCCUACGGGAGGCAGCAGUGGGGAAUUUUGGACAAUGGGCGAAAGCCUGAUCCAGCAAUGCCGCGUGUGUGAAGAAGGCCUUCGGGUUGUAAAGCACUUUUGUCCGGAAAGAAAUCCUUAGCCCUAAUACGGUCGGGGGAUGACGGUACCGGAAGAAUAAGCACCGGCUAACUACGUG
rnacentral:rRNA from 1 species